rnacentral:rRNA from 1 species
UACGGAGGGUGCAAGCGUUAUCCGGAUUUACUGGGUUUAAAGGGUGCGUAGGAGGGCAGGUAAGUCAGUGGUGAAAUCUCCAAGCUUAACUUGGAACUGCCGUUGAUACUAUCUGUCUUGAAUACCGUGGAGGUGAGCGGAAUAUGUCAUGUAGCGGUGAAAUGCUUAGAUAUGACAUAGAACACCAAUUGCGAAGGCAGCUCGCUACACGAAUAUUGACUCUGAGGCACGAAAGCGUGGGGAUCAAACAGGA